rnacentral:lncRNA from 1 species
GAGAAGAGUCAGUGGUCCUGAGGUACAGUACUUAAGAUAACCCUGUGAAGGCUGAGAUUGAUAUUUGAAAUUCACAACUGAUCUUGGAGCCUGGUACAGCAGUCAUGGAGCCAUAUUGGAUUGUGAAAGGAACUCAGUUGACCUGGCCUAUUGCAGAUUUAUUCUGAGAAUUUCAAUUCAGUCUUUGCUGCUGUUUGGAAAUCUUUCAUGAAUCUUUUAAUAACUUCCUUACAUACAUCUUGUUCCAUUAAAGCCCCAAAUUUGGCUUUGUCAGCUCUCUUUCUUCAUAAUCUUUAGGAUUUGUUCAUGUGUGGAUGUGAUGGAACUGAAGUCGCUAGGUUCAUGCUACCUGGAACAUGAGACUGACAAAUAGAGGAGCACUGAGUCAAAUGAAUCUCGGAGAAAUGGAGCUGGAAGAAAACUGGAGUAAGCCUGUCCCUGAAAGGGCACUACAUUUGGAUAUCCAGCAGUGGGACUCAAUAUUUUUUCUUGUUGUUUAAUCUCAUUUCUGUUACUUGCAGCCAAAGGCUCUUAAUGAGAAAAUGGCUCUACCUAGUUUUCUGAAAUUGCCUCAGUCUCUCCACUCUUCCCUAUUACAAAGGUCAUCUCUUUAAUUCACAUCCAAUAACUGAUAGUCUCUUGACUAAUCUACAUCCUCUCAUUCUCUCCUAAUUCACCUUUCAUACUGUUGCCAGGUGACUUUUCCUAAAAGACAACUUUCAUGAUGUCACUCUACUUCAUAAAUUCUUAUAAUGGUUUCUUUUUGCUUUUAGUCCAAACUCCUCAGGUUCGUUUUCAA